rfam:Tarsius syrichta, whole genome shotgun sequence
GAAUAUGAAGGAAAACUGGCUGUGACAUCUGUCAACACAUUGAUUUUCAGCAUUGAUACAGAUGGUCUGAGCUGAUCCCUGGUCUCCCUUAUCACUUCAUUUGUGUCCCUUCCAGAGUUAUGUGCUUAUUAAAGAGGACAAGUUAUGAAGGGUAUUUAAAAGGUACAUUCCCUUUGUAUAAUUUCCAGGCAUGUCACACUUUAUUCUGAGGUAAAUCUGUAGAACAAACACAUUUUGGUUGGGUGAGUCCUUUUUCU